rnacentral:misc_RNA from 1 species
GAAAUAAUGCUCACUUACUAUGUUUUUAUGGUAGUUUCCUCAAUGUGUUUGAUAUCUUGUGCUACAAUUAGUAUCCAAGUUCAUACCCUUACAGUUAGCAAUUUUUGUUAUUGAAUUUAUGCUAAGAAACUUGCUUCCUACCCCAAAUAUUAAUGGCUGUUGAUCUCCUUGAACACGUAAUUGACUGACUGUUCUAUAUUUUAAGUGGAUAUAAAUGGUUUUAAACUAUUUCCUGCUUUAUAAUCAAUCAUAUCUAAUGCAUUGUUUUCCUAUUUCCCUUUGGAAGCACUUGCUAACAGUUGUUAAGAUAUUUGAACCCUGUGGGAAGAAUGAGCAAGGUUUUUGUGAAGGAACUUGUGCAAGCAUCUUUUAUGGCUACUGAACGAUUGGCAUUGGUUUUUAUUUCAU